rnacentral:rRNA from 1 species
AUACAGAGGGUGCAAGCGUUAAUCGGAAUUACUGGGCGUAAAGCGCACGUAGGUGGUUCAUUAAGUCAGAUGUGAAAGCCCCGGGCUCAACCUGGGAACUGCAUUUGAAACUGGUGAGCUAGAGUAUGGUAGAGGUAAGUGGAAUUCCAGGUGUAGCGGUGAAAUGCGUAGAUAUCUGGAGGAACAUCAGUGGCGAAGGCGACUUACUGGACCAAUACUGACACUGAGGUGCGAAAGCGUGGGGAGCAAACAGGAUUAGAUACCCGAGUAGUCC